GUUUAGAUAAAGAAAAUUGAUAUACUUACUUAAGAUAGAGAUAUUGAUUUUGAUUAUAAGAAAAAUAUAGUUUUGAUUUAGAUCAAUUUUUGAGUUAUUGAUUUUUAUUAUGGAAUGACUUAAUGAUAAAAUUUGCUUCAAGAAUUAGAAUAUUUAAGAGUUUGAGGGUUUGAGUAAGAAAAUUUUGAUGACUAGAAAUAGUGAUAUUAAUUCUAAUCAACAUUGGUGAUAUUGA
rnacentral:lncRNA from 1 species